CUGUGUCAAAGAGAGGUAUAAGAACACCUGGAUUGCUCAAGCCCCAGUCUGGAUGGGUUUCUCUUAUAACUCUCCCACCUUCACCAGUGCCAAGUGUGCCAGGCUGCCUUCUGUGGUGUAAGCUAGGGCUGGACUUUAUUUUAUUACAAAAACUGUGGUUUGUUGCUGUGCUUUACCCAGAGAGCUCUUCUGAAGUCGCUGAGGGGAUGAGGACCUCAGUUUGGUCCCUGAUACCAUUAACCAUUCACUCUGUGGUGUGGGAAAUCUCACAGAGCUUGUUUAAUUCCAUCACAGAGCAGGAGAACAUGGCUGGGUAAGGUGAUGUGGGCUGUGAGGCUCCUUGUGUUUCUGUUUCACCUGAACUGAAGCAGUUUCAUCCUCUGCUCAAGUAGGAUCACCUGUGUAUAGUUUUAGGGAUGUAAUUUCACAUCACUGUGCUUCUGUGCAUCAAGCUCUCAGCUCCUGUUAAGUUUCACUGGGUCUCUGCUAAUCAUGAGCUCAUGCCUCAGUUUCCCCACUCAGAUGGCAAUUAAAGCUGCUCCUACAGCUAAUCAGGCCUCUUUGCAUAUUACUCAUGCUUAGCUUAAUGCCAUAACACCACUAAAUCCAGAGCAGAGAAAUCCUGAGCCUGCAAACUCACCAAGGUCUUGGAAAGGAGAGGAGCAUGAAGCCCAAGUGCAGCCCCAGAGCAAAGCAUCUGCCUCCUCCCCACCCAGCAGGACAAGGAUGUGGAGCUGAAGGGAACCAAUGGCAGACACAGCUGGACAAGGACCAUUUUGACUUUGGCUGAAGUCAGAGGAAGGCUCUGCCCUGCUGAUAUCCAGAGUGAAUUACCUAGGCGGGACUCUUGGCCUCUGUCCAAUCCAACAGCCUCAGGUGUGAGGUGAAGUCUGAAAGGUCUUAUGAGGUGUCUUUCUACCAAAUUGGGAGAGAAACUUCUGGGCUUUUUGCCUUUUUAAGCAGACAAUAAUUUAGUUAGUCCAUUAACAGAGGGCACAUUCCUACAAGGCCUGGCCCCACACUCCUGGGCACCUGCUGCCAUUCCCUGUGCUCUUCCCGGGAGGUGACAGAUCCCUGGCUUGCUUGGAUUAGCUGGAGUUUCUUCUCCCAAGCAUGCAGAGAGCACACAUCUGCUCAGCAGGGACACACUUUUCCAGGAGCCUCUUUCCUGCACUGUGAUCCCGUCCCAGCCGGAGCCGGGACUCCUCGGAGCCUCGCUGUGCUGACACGUCCAUCCUCACCACAACAGAGCAAAUCCUGCUCACUGGGCUUUUUCAUCCUGCUCCAAGCUACAAAGUGCUCAGUGUUUCCCUUUCCAAAGGAUUUGGGCCACGUCAGGUCCGGCAGGGACAGGGGCUCUGCACACCAAGGGCCUUGGGGAGGGAAGCUAGCAGGAUGGGCUCCUUCUCAGCUGAAAUAAGUGAGAUCCCACCCAGUUAACUCCGUGCUUCCAUGAAAAAGCAUCUCCCACCUCACAUGGGACUCCCGUUUCCCGCUCCCUCCCAGGAUCAGAAGUGCCCACCAAGGAUUGCUCUGUGUGUAGAUCUCGACCUUGUCUGCUCAAGCAACACCUGAACCUCCCCAGCCCACAGACUUGAGGAAAACAAUCCCAGCACAACCUCUCCAUGCUGUCACUUCCACUUACAGACCAUGGGGGUGAUGUUGCUGUGGUGGUUUUCAGCCACACUGUGGUCUGGGGCACGUGGGUCUGGAGGGGGGACCUUUCUCCAUCCACAAAAUCCUGCUGGAGCCCUCCAGGAAAGGACAGCCAAGCCAGUGCUGAUGCUUCCCUGCUGCCUCUUUGCAGCCUGAGUUGUUUUAUUUUUCCUCUUGCCCCCUCUCUCCUGCAGCACAAAAGGACAUUCUUGUACCCAAGUAUUUUUUUUCUGCAUAUUUGCAGCAUGAGCAAAGCAGGAGGGGUGAGGGCAAGGAAGGGGAUUGAAAGGUUUGGGAAAAAAAAAUCUCACACAGGGCUUAGUUUACAAGGGACAGCUGAGUGUAUAAACCCUGUCUCCAAAGAGGGUUGUUAGGAGCUUUUCUGGCAGUGUUUCCCCUCCUGCCCCCAACUUCUGGCUAAGCUGUUCGGAGGGAAAACAAGGAAUGAGAAGGAGGGGGAGAGUUUUUGAAUGUUCCAAAAGUCAGAGCUAAAAAAUCCCCCUCUGUAAGACCCAGAAAGGCUCCUGGAGCUGAGCAAACAAACCUGGGCGAGUGGCUUGGGGGGGUCAAGUGCUGCAGGUGGGGGCCAAUGGUUUGUGCAUCCAAGACAUCAUAGUGGAUAGUGGAAAUGAUCCCAAAGGGGGACAAGCAUCCCUGUAACACUACAAACUGGUGACUGGGGUGAGAGGGAUCCCAAAGCAUCCCAGGCACACAGUGCUCUGUAAAUUCCCUGGGGAUCCCCAUCCCUGACAGUUCUGCUGGGGGCUGCUUUCCCUUUGAUGGCUCAGGACACAGCAGAGGGGGUGCCAAGGUAAGAUGCCUUUCCUGACAGAUCCCUGGAAGUCCUGUCUUCCCUCUUCUUCUCCAUGCACUUCUGUCUCAGGUUGGAAGAUGUGUCUGGGUGUGUGUUCUAUCCCCAUCUGUCAGA